rnacentral:rRNA from 1 species
CCCAGAGCUUAACUCUGGAACUGCCAUCAAAACUUUUCAGCUAGAGUAUGAUAGAGGAAAGCAGAAUUCUAGUGUAGAGGUGAAAUUCGUAGAUAUUAGAAAGAAUACCAAUUGCGAAGGCAGCUUUCUGGAUCAUUACUGACACUGAGGAACGAAAGCAUGGGUAGCGAAGAGGAUUAGAUACCCUCGUAGUCCAUGCCGUAAACGAUGUGUGUUAGACGUUGGAAAUUUAUUUUCAGUGUCGCAGGGAAACCGAUAAACACACCGCCUGGGGAGUACGACCGCAAGGUUAAAACUCAAAUGAAUUGACGGGGACCCGCACAAGUAGUGGAGCAUGUGGUUUAAUUCGAAGAUACGCGCAGAACCUUACCAACACUUGACAUGUUCGUCGCGACUCUAAGAGAUUAGAGUUUUCGGUUCGGCUGGACGAAACACAGGUGCUGCAUGGCUGUCGUCAGCUCGUGUCGUGAGAUGUUGGGUUAAGUCCCGCAACGAGCGCAACCCUCACUUUUAGUUGCCAUCAUUAAGUUGGGCACUCUGAAAGAACUGCCAGUGAUAAGCUGGAGGAAGGUGGGGAUGACGUCAAGUCCUCAUGGCCCUUACGUGUUGGGCUACACACGUGCUACAAUGGCAUCUACAAUAGGAAGCAAAACGGCAACGUUAAGCAAAUCCCGAAAAGAUGCCUCAGUUCGGAUUGCACUCUGCAACUCGAGUGCAUGAAGCUGGAAUUACUAGUAAUCGUGGAUCAGCGUGCCACGGUGAAUGCGUUCCCGGGUCUUGUACACACCGCCCGUCACACCAUGGGAGUUGGUUCUACCUUAAGGCAAGGUUUUAAACCCUUGACCACGGUAUAGUCAGCGACUGGGGUGAAG